GGGAGUUUGUAAAAUGAUCUCUGAAAAUUCACUCUACUCUCUACACACUCUUUCUUUUUUAUUUAUACAAAUGAUACAUAAGUUGUCUUGCAUAAUCCUUGAUGUGGCACCUUAAAUGUUGAGUAAGCUUUCAUUGACUAAUGAUUUUGUCUUUUUGGUGUCUUGAAUAGGCAAACUUUAUCUCUUGGGGGAUUGAUGAUUUUGGCUCGAUAUUGAAGUAUUGAGUCGGCAACCUCUUCAU